rnacentral:ncRNA from 1 species
AACAUGGCAGUGAGAAGGAGCAGUAGUGAAAGCGUCCCGCCUAGUAGAGAGCUGGCGGUUGGUGAAAGCCGGCCGGGACAUUCAUGAACUCGCCUUUGAGCCGCAGGCGUGAAGUAACAGUAAUGUCUGCCGUUUUCCGCGUUAAGGAUGAAUGAAGCGAGUGUUUGCACACUAAUGUGGGUGGUACCGCGGGAAGAUACAUAUAUCCUCUCGUCCCUUUU